CUUCAGCGACCCCAGCCAGAGCGGCCGCUGCGGAUCCCGGUCCCGGCCGUAGGUGGCCAGCAACGCCUGCGCCUC
rnacentral:antisense_RNA from 1 species